rfam:Ictidomys tridecemlineatus contig001933, whole genome shotgun sequence.
GGAAGGAUAGCUCAGUGGUAGAGCACUUGCCUGGUGUGUGAAAGGAUCUGGGCUCCAUCCCCAGUUCUUCAA